GAUGAACGCUGGCGGCGUGCCUAAUACAUGCAAGUCGAGCGAACGGACGAGAAGCUUGCUUCUCUGAUGUUAGCGGCGGACGGGUGAGUAACACGUGGAUAACCUACCUAUAAGACUGGGAUAACUUCGGGAAACCGGAGCUAAUACCGGAUAAUAUUUUGAACCGCAUGGUUCAAAAGUGAAAGACGGUCUUGCUGUCACUUAUAGAUGGAUCCGCGCUGCAUUAGCAAGUUGGUAAGGUAACGGCUUACCAAGGCAACGAUGCAUAGCCGACCUGAGAGGGUGAUCGGCCACACUGGAACUGAGACACGGUCCAGACUCCUACGGGAGGCAGCAGUAGGGAAUCUUCCGCAAUGGGCGAAAGCCUGACGGAGCAACGCCGCGUGAGUGAUGAAGGUCUUCGGAUCGUAAAACUCUGUUAUUAGGGAAGAACAUAUGUGUAAGUAACUGUGCACAGCUUGACGGUACCUAAUCAGAAAGCCACGGCUAACUACGUG
rnacentral:rRNA from 1 species